UACGAAGGUCCCAAGCGUUAUCCGGAUUUAUUGGGUUUAAAGGGUGCGUAGGCGGGUUAUUAAGUCAGUGGUGAAAGCCUACAGCUUAACUGUAGAACUGCCAUUGAUACUGAUGAUCUUGAGUAUGAUUGAGGUGGGCGGAAUGUGUCAUGUAGCGGUGAAAUGCUUAGAUAUGACACAGAACACCGAUUGCGAAGGCAGCUCACUAAGUCAUAACUGACGCUGAUGCACGAAAGCGUGGGGAGCAAACAGG
rnacentral:rRNA from 1 species